CUGGACGGUGGACCUGAAGCGUGGCUGUUCCAUGCCGUCGCGGAUGGACGUCAGAGCCAUGGCUCGAGUCAUCAGCGAAUUUCCGAUCCGUUAAUCAAUCCUGCUGACGACGUCAUUUGCGGUGCAGUAAAUGCAAAAUUGGGUGGGUGGGUCGAGUUGUCUCAUGCCUCCGCCAGUUGCUGGUUUGGUCUGGUAGCAUCGAGAACGGCUCGGCGGCGGCAGAUCCAUCCCUUAGGGUUCCGGUGACCUGGCUCCGGCGGCCAUGGAGUUCUUGAUGCAGCCGGUCAACAGUAGAACGCUCAUAGAGGUAGUGAAUGACAGUGACAUACCAAUGGAGCCUCUUCGCUAUCCUGUUCUCUCGAUGCCGGCCGGGGAGUUGCCGACGGCGAGUGCAUUGAGUGCAGAUGCACUCAUCUGCUCGACAAGUGCUAUGGCAACAGGCGAGGGUGCAGACCAGCCAUAAGCUUCUGAACACUCUAUAGAACAAGUUGACCCACAGGCACCAGGAUGGACACGAAGGGUCCGGAUUGGAGCUGCUGCGCCAGGACGUGCCCCCAACCCGGAUAGGAUGACAUCAUUAGAGAAAUCGGUCCGCGUGUUUGCGGAGGCACCCGGUGAGAAUGUCAUUGUGCCAAAAAUAGGGAUCAGCUUCGAUACACUUGGAGAGGCCUAUGAUUUCUACAACUUGUAUUCCUAGGAGAAAGGAUUUGGAACUAGAUAUGGAAAGAGCAAACUAAAUGUCAACAGGACAAAGUGCAUGCAAGAGAUAGUCUGCGGUUGUGCGGAUAAACCAAUUGUGGGGAAUACUCGUUCCUGCCAAUGUGAAUGUCCUGCCUUAGUGAGACUGCUACGGUCAAAGGAUAAUGGGUGGUAUAUAGCAGAGCACCGGGACGAGCACAACCACUCAUUGUCUCCGACAUAUGGGCAGACAUAUAUCAAUUCUUUGUGGUGCUUCCUAGGAGCUAUAUAUGUACAGAUACUUCAAUUCGUGUGUCCUUGUCCAGAUCCUUCCCUUUUUGGCUGCCGAAUUUCCAAAUGCCAUGCUUCCUAUGCAUCCUCUCUUGCAUUAGCAUACCCAUGCUCUAACUCUUGUAUUUUUUCCGUUUAACAAUGCUGAAUUGCUUCAUAUAUUUCUCAUAUAUUUGUUCUCAUGCUUCUCGCUUAUUCGAGAUUGCCUAUUUGCCCAGGCCAUAUGCAGUUGCAGGUCAAUAACGUUGGUCAUUUGACGGUGCCGGCCCCGGUGCUCCUUGCCGCUAGUCGGUGUCGACAUUUGCAGCUUUUGGGGAGAAGAGUAGCGAAGCAUCGAGGGACGCGUUCAACAUCGAGAAAGUAGGCGAAAGUGCUCUUGUGAGCCCGAGCUCACAUGCACCCUUUGCUACAGUAAAAUCGAAAAAAUAUUUAAAAAGCUCAAAAAAAUCUGAAUGUUUUUGACAACAAACAUUGAUGUAUUUUUCACAUGCGUGCAAAAAAUC